CAUAGUGUCGGUCGCGAGUGCCACUGCGCGACGCUUGCUCAAAGCUGAAGGCAGGUCAACUUCUUUGGGGGCGCGAGCCAUUCCUCAGGCAUCUUCCUAGAGGAGGCGUUGGUUGAGCAGCAGCGUCAUGUCGGGCAGGGAAGGCGGCAAGAAAAAACCCCUGAAGAUGGCAAAAAAGGAAGGGAAAGAUUAUGACGAGCAUGACCUGGAGUUCAAGCAAAAACAAAAAGAGCAGCAGAAGGCUCUUAAAGAGGCAGCAGCAAAGGCUGCUGGAAAAGGACCCCUUGCUACCGGAGGCAUUAAGAAGUCUGGGAAGAAAUGAAGCUCUUCGGAACACUGAUGACUGAUUGUUGUACAAAACUUAAUGAAUUUUUUGCCCAGGGGUGUUCCUC